AAUGGGUUUAGGAGUCUACACAGAGGUGGGCAAACUUUUUGGCCCAAGGGCCACAUCUGGGUGGCGACAUUGCCUGCAGGGCCAUGACUGUAGGGCUGGGGCAGAGGUUGGGAUUGGGGUGUGGG